rnacentral:rRNA from 1 species
CGCCAGCCUGACGGAGCCAGACCGCGUGGGGGAGGAAGGCCCUUGGGUUGUAAACCCCUUUUCUCAGGGAAGAAACCUGACGGUACCUGAGGAAAAAGCCUCGGCUAACUCCGUGCCAGCAGCCGCGGUAAUACGGAGGAGGCAAGCGUUAUCCGGAAUUAUUGGGCGUAAAGCGUCCGUAGGCGGUUUAUCAAGUCUGUCGUUAAAGACUGCAGCUUAACUGUGGGCGAGCGAUGGAAACUGAGGAACUGGAGUACGGUAGGGGUAGAGGGAAUUCCCAGUGUAGCGGUGAAAUGCGUAGAGAUUGGGAAGAACACCGGUGGCGAAAGCGCUCUACUGGGUCGCACCUGACCCUCAGGGACGAAAGCUAAGGUAGCG